rnacentral:misc_RNA from 1 species
AGCAUUCGUCUUCUGGUUACGGGGCCAUAGCUCAGCUGGGAGAGCGCGUGCUUUGCAAGCAUGAGGUCGUCGGUUCGAUCCCGUCUGGCUCCACCACGCUUCGCCUGAAGGCUUCGCGUGGCGCGGCCAAGCGCGAUCGCGAAGCGUGCCCGGCGAAGCUCGAUAGAGCGAAGACGGGCUGAUCGUUGCCCUCGUAACCAAAUCGUCCGCGAAACAUCACUUCGCACUCACGAGUCCGGAUGGACAGUGACGUGUGUGUUUUCUGACAUCGUAAAGAGGAGAUCGAUCCGAGUUUGGAUCAAGCGAAGCAAUUCGCCUGACCCAUUCACUAUCUCCGGGAUCAUUUCGGCGCUCGCUUCAGUCGUGAGAUUGAAUGCGGGUUGUAAAUGAUCCUUUGUUAGCGAAGCUUGACCGCCUCGCUAUCGGGCCGAUCUUACGAAGCAAGCUGGUCUUUCUAGUCAAUGUCCGGCUGUGACAAUCGCAUUCAUCGAGGAUGCGCGCCUUCAGUGGCAAUUGCACAGACAGCAUUCUGCCGAGUGUGUGGACAUUGAUAAUGAGAGCAAUCAAGUGCCUUAAGGGUGUUCGGUGGAUGCCUUGGCGCUGAGAGGCGAUGAAGGACGUGCUACGCUGCGAUAAGCCGU